rnacentral:sRNA from 1 species
UUCCAGCCCCGAUGGGAGUGGAAAUCCUGGCUUGAGAGAUUGUCGUGCAAGCUUUCAAGACAGAUUGCAACGGACAGCGGGAACAUGG